rnacentral:rRNA from 1 species
GACGAACGCUGGCGGCGUGCUUAACACAUGCAAGUCGAGCGGGUAAGGCCCUUUCGGGGGUACGACGAGCGGCGAACGGGUGAGUAACACGUGGGUGACCUGCCCUUAGCUCUGGGAUAAGCCUGGGAAACUGGGUCUAAUACCGGAUAUGACUCCAUGACGCAUGUUGUGGGGUGGAAAGCCUUGUGCGGCUAGGGAUGGGCCUGCGGCCUAUCAGCUUGUUGGUGGGGUGAGGCCUACCAAGGCGACGACGGGUAGCCGGCCUGAGAGGGCGACCGGCCACACUGGGACUGAGACACGGGCCCAGACUCCUACGGGAGGCAGCAGUGGGGAAUCUUGCGCAAUGGGCGAAAGCCUGACGCAGCGACGCCGCGUGGGGAUGACGGCCUGG